AAUUAAAAUAAAUUUGAAUUAUAUAAAAUUUCUAAUUUUAAUAUAUUAUGGUUAAAAUCCAUUUUUAUUU
rnacentral:tRNA from 1 species